UUUUCUCCCAUUUUCGGCCACAGCUAGCUUCCAACCUCCCUCUCCCAAAUCUUUUGUUCUUCCUCCAAAUCCCCACCAUUUUUCUUAAGUUUUGAGCUUGCAUUGAAGGUUUUGAGCUUUUAAAACAAGUUUUGGAGCUUGGGAGACUCAGGAGCCCAUUUGCUUAGAUCUCCGAGUUUAGGUCGUCUCUCUCUCGAUCUUCAAGAGGUAAGAGCCGAUCUUGAGCUCAAUGUAUGUUUUUAACAAGUUUUAAGUAGAUUUAUGGGGUAGAAAUGCAUGUUAGGGUUAUUUGAAUAUUUGGGUUUAUGUUAUGAUUUUGAACAAUGUAUGUUGGUUUUUGUGUGUUUGAAGUGUUGUAGUUGGGGUAUAUGCUAGUUUGAGACCCCUAGGUGUAAUGUAUGAUAUGUAUGCAUGUUUUAGAACUAGUUUUUGCAUGAUUUGAGCUUGGGAGGCGAAAUGUGCAUAGAGGAGCUGAGUUUCUGCCCUUCGGGAGAAGCUCAGGUUCGGCCGUCGAAGGGACUUUCGGCCGCCGAACCCCCUUUGUGGAGGCAGCUUUCGGCUGCCGAAGUUGCCCCCGAAAAGAGACUUUCGUCUCUGUUUGGGACU
rnacentral:lncRNA from 1 species